AGGACGAACGCUGGCGGCGUGCCUAACACAUGCAAGUCGAACGGGGUCCAACCAGUGGCAACACUGGGGAAGACCUAGUGGCGAACGGGUGAGUAACACGUGAGGAACCUGCCCCGAAGACCGGGAUAACCCUCCGAAAGGAGAGCUAAUACCGGAUACCCCAACCAGAUCGCAUGUUCUGGUUCGGAAAUGGAUUCCGCUUCGGGAGGGCCUCGCGGCCUAUCAGCUUGUUGGUGGGGUAACGGCCCACCAAGGCUUCGACGGGUAGCUGGUCUGAGAGGACGAUCAGCCACACUGGGACUGAGACACGGCCCAGACUCCUACGGGAGGCAGCAGUGGGGAAUCUUGCACAAUGGGCGAAAGCCUGAUGCAGCAACGCCGCGUGGGGGAUGAAGGCCUCGGGUUGUAACCCUUUCAGCAGGGACGAUCUGACGGUACCUGCAGAAGAACGCCCCGGCCAACGUACGCGCCAGCACGCCGC
rnacentral:rRNA from 1 species